rnacentral:rRNA from 1 species
GCAGUCGACGCUUCUUUUUCCCCGGAGCUUGCUCCCCGGAAAAAGAGGAGUGGCGAACGGGUGAGUAACACGUGGGUAACCUGCCCAUCAGAAGGGGAUAACACUUGGAAACAGGUGCUAAUACCGUAUAACAAUCAAAACCGCAUGGUUUUGAUUUGAAAGGCGCUUUCGGGUGUCGCUGAUGGAUGGACCCGCGGUGCAUUAGCUAGUUGGUGAGGUAACGGCUCACCAAGGCCACGAUGCAUAGCCGACCUGAGAGGGUGAUCGGCCACAUUGGGACUGAGACACGGCCCAAACUCCUACGGGAGGCAGCAGUAGGGAAUCUUCGGCAAUGGACGAAAGUCUGACCGAGCAACGCCGCGUGAGUGAAGAAGGUUUUCGGAUCGUAAAACUCUGUUGUUAGAGAAGAACAAGGAUGAGAGUAACUGUUCAUCCCUUGACGGUAUCUAACCAGAAAGCCACGGCUAACUACGUGCCAGCAGCCGCGGUAAUACGUAGGUGGCAAGCGUUGUCCGGAUUUAUUGGGCGUAAAGCGAGCGCAGGCGGUUUCUUAAGUCUGAUGUGAAAGCCCCCGGCUCAACCGGGGAGGGUCAUUGGAAACUGGGAGACUUGAGUGCAGAAGAGGAGAGUGGAAUUCCAUGUGUAGCGGUGAAAUGCGUAGAUAUAUGGAGGAACCCAGUGGCGAGGCGGCUCUCUGGUCUGUACUGACGCUGAGCUCGAAGCGUGGGAGCA